AAAACAUUCAUGACCCUCGGUCUUCCGAGCAAUAUCACCCGCUUGGUGGAAGAUCUUCCCUUUGUUGU
rnacentral:pre_miRNA from 1 species